rnacentral:rRNA from 1 species
GGAUUAGAUACCCUGGUAGUCCACGCCCUAAACGAUGGAUACUAGUCGUCGGAAUAUCUAAUCGUUUCGGUGACGUAGCUAACGCACUAAGUAUCCCGCCUGGGGAUUACGGUCGCAAGAUUAAAACUCAAAGGAAUUGACGGGGGCCCGCACAAGCGGUGGAGCAUGUGGUUUAAUUCGAUGCUACGCGAAGAACCUUACCAGGGCUUGACAUCCCGGGCUACCCUGGGAAACCAGGGGUUCCCUUCGGGGACUCGGUGACAGGUGCUGCAUGGCUGUCGUCAGCUCGUGCCG